rnacentral:lncRNA from 1 species
GUCAAUAUUACAAGGGUGUUUGAGAGGGUGCUCAGGUGUUUAGACAUAGCCCACACAGCAAAUGCAGACUAAAGCAAAGUUGCUGUACAAAAAGUCAUUUCAAUAAUCCAUGGGCUAAAGGCUCAAGUGUAACCCUGAGCAAAAGGCUUCACGCUGGAGACUGAGUGAAUACCCUGCUUUGCUCCUUCUCUUCUCCCCAGUCACUGACUACCUCUGGCUCCCCCAUCUUGCCUGGCUGUGGACGUGAUGAAAGCGCUUGAAUUCUGGAGUCAGACAGAUAAUGCUUGGCAUACCCUAUGCUCAAAACGUAUUUGAUAAGUGGAGGAAUGGAUGAAUUGGUGAAGGUUGACUAGGGACAAGAGAAAAACAGGAGAAAGAAAAGUUAGAAGAAAGAAGCAAGAAGAACAGAAGGAACAGAGAAGACAAGAAGUUGGGAGCAAAGAAAAAUAAAGUCUAACCCUUAGGAACAAAUCCAGGACUGAGGACAAAGUUUGAAUUCUGGGGCUACCUGCUUGGGAGAGGCCACAGGAAUAACCAAGGGAUCAAGAACUUCAACCAAGCACUUCACAGAAAAAGCAGCAAACCAUGAGAUGAAGAAGGAGUAUGGUUGAAAGCUAACUUAGUCAAUAGAUCAGGGAUCCGAAUGGAAAGUGAGAAAUGGAGAGAAGACAACAUCCUCAAAUAAUGCACGCCUGCCUCUGUAAUCUUUGGGCCCAAUUAUUCAUGUUUCUAUUGGCCCAGGCAGGUCCCCAAAGUACCUGUGCCUUGCUGGAUACCUCAGGGAACUAGACAUUAAUUCUCAAUCCUACUUUAUGGGCAUUCUAUCUUCACGAUUUUGUCUCAUUCCUGCCUUUAGAUUCAUCACAAGAUUUUAUAGCAGUUGGACAAAUCUUCCCCAUUUCCAGACAAUUAUUGUCCAUAAUUUUCAACCAUUUAUUUUAAACAUAAAAGCAUUUUUUCCGUCCUCACUCCUGUUCAUGGCUGAGGUUAAAAAGGCAACUGUAAACUUUGUCUGAUAAAUUUUCCAUUCAUUCUCCUCCUUUCCUUCAAUAUGCCAAUCAGGCUGUCAGCUUGCUUUCUCUGCAGAUUCAUAACACUUCACCUUCAGUCUCAUUAACUGAUUUUCCUUUUGUUUCACAUGAAGAAAACUCAUCUCAACACUUAAAACCCUGGGAGUUACAAUUUAGAACUUCUUCGGCUGACUUGGAUUUUUAGCUCCCACUGAUUGUUCUUUAUUUUCUGCCUUUCAGAUAAAAAAAAAAAAAAUUCUUUUCCUUUUAACCACCUUUUGCUGACCUCAUCUUUAAAUACAGAAUAAGAUUUACGCUCAUAUUGUAGCUUUUAUGUGGGUCAACUUUUAUAAAUUUCAAAAUAUUGGCUCAUUUGGACUCUGGAUUUUGUGAAAAUUAGGAUGAAACCUGGGUUACAGUUUGCUUAGUUGUGCCCCUCCCCAUGAGGGUAAUAAUUGCCCUAAAAUAUUUUAUGUGCAAUAGAGAAUGUAAUCUGUAUUUUAGAGUACUAUUGAACCCGGGUUGCCCUAAAGUAGAAUUGUCAGCCAGAUAUGGUGGCUCAUGCCUGUAAUCCCAACACUUUAGGAGGCCAGUGUGGGAGGAUCACUUUAGCCCAGGAGUUUGAGACCAGUCUGGGC